CACGUUAGCGCGACCUGCUGACGUGGAAGAAAAUCGCUUCCUCAGGGACGCGAUUUCCUUCCACGUCAGCAGGUCGCGCUGACGUGG
rfam:Gossypium raimondii Chr01_contig_346, whole genome shotgun sequence.